rnacentral:rRNA from 1 species
CCUACGGGAGGCAGCAGUGGGGAAUAUUGCACAAUGGGGGAAACCCUGAUGCAGCGACGCCGCGUGAGUGAAGAAGUAUCUCGGUACGUAAAGCUCUAUCAGCAAGGAAGAAAAUGACGGUACUUGACUAAGAAGCCCCGGCUAACUACGUGCCAGCAGCCGCGGUAAU